AAUGGAUAGCGCUAGUGCCUGCGUGAGGAACAGGCAGACGAGGUAGAGAAGUAUCGAAGAUUCAGCGGAUGUCUCUCGGCAGCUCCAGCCGUUAUGCAAUGAAAAAAAUCACACUGGCAACAGGGUGGACAAAGAC
rnacentral:ncRNA from 1 species